CUGCUCUCUGGUCUCCCAAGGCCCUUGAUUUAUAGGGUCCCCACGGACGGAAGCUUUCCCCCGUCAGCGGGUCUCCACUGAAUCACCGGCAGGAGUCCUGGAUGAUCCCCCGGUCGCACGGCCCCUCCCCCGCUCCUUCCCGACCCGUGCGGCAGGGAUCGCAGACUCUAGGGGAGGGAGCGAUGUUCUCUCCUACCGUUCCAGCGCCUCCGAGGGUGUAAGCAAGGACUCUUCUUUGUUUGGUCAAGAGACUCCUCCGUUGGCACCAGACCACUCCACAAAUAGACUGCAAUGCCUUUUUAAAGAAUGACACAUGACCGGGUAAUUUUCUGAGUAUAAAAAAGACAAUUGCAGAAAGAAAUUAUGUUCUGCCUCAUGGAUAUUUGUGGAUGUCCAGAAGAGUUAA
rnacentral:lncRNA from 1 species